AAUAAGUGCAGCCGUGGAUAUCCGUGCCCAACGUUUAACCGUUCGUCUUAUUUGAAAAAUUUAUGAAAAUACUGAAAAUAUUUAGUCACACAUAAAGUAAUAUUCAUGUUUUAUCAUCUAAUAGCAAUAAAAAUACUAAUCAUAAAAAUUUUUCAAAUAAGACGAACAGUCAAACGUUAAACGUGAAUAGUGCAAAACUGCACUUAUU
rnacentral:pre_miRNA from 1 species